AUAUUUUCCUGGCAGGGGAGACACUUUGAUCCCGAAGGUGGUUUUCCCCGGGCGAGGCUCACCCAUUGCGCUCCGGAUGUGCUAAGCCCUAUGAUUUUCCCAAAUGUGGGAAACACAACUGCAUAAUUUGCAGCAGUGGGUGACUGCGUUCGCGCUCUCCCCUC